UACGUAGGGUGCGAGCGUUGUCCGGAAUUACUGGGCGUAAAGAAGCUCGUAGGUGGUUUGUCACGUCGUCUGUGAAAUUCCGGGGCUUAAACCUCGGGCGUGCAGGCGAUACGGGCAAUAACUUGAGUGCUGUAGGGGAGACUGGAAUUCCUGGUGUAGCGGUGAAAUGCGCAGAUAUCAGGAGGAACACCAAAUGGCGAAGGCAGGUCUCUGGGCAGUUACUGACGCUGAGAGCGAAAGCAAUGGGUAGCGAACAGGAUUAGAUA
rnacentral:rRNA from 1 species